CAGUAGCCGCGGUAAUACGUAGGUGGCAAGCGUUGUCCGGAAUUAUUGGGCGUAAGGCGCGCGCAGGCGGAUUGGUCAGUCUGUCUUAAAAGUUCGGGGCUUAACCCCGUGAUGGGAUGGAAACUGCCAAUCUAGAGUAUCGGAGAGGAAAGUGGAAUUCCUAGUGUAGCGGUGAAAUGCGUAGAUAUUAGGAAGAACACCAGUGGCGAAGGCGACUUUCUGGACGAAAACUGACGCUGAGGCGCGAAAGCCAGGGGAGCGAACGGGAUUAGAGACCCCCGUAGUCCCUGUCUCUUAUACA
rnacentral:rRNA from 1 species